UACGUAGGGGGCAAGCGUUGUCCGGAAUUAUUGGGCGUAAAGCGCGUGUAGGCGGCUCGGUAAGUCUGCUGUGAAAGUCCAGGGCUCAACCCUGGAAUGCCGGUGGAUACUGUCGAGCUCGAGUCCGGAAGAGGCGAGUGGAAUUCCUGGUGUAGCGGUGAAAUGCGCAGAUAUCAGGAGGAACACCAAUGGCGAAGGCAGCUCGCUGGGACGGUACUGACGCUGAGGCGCGAAAGCGUGGGGAGCAAACAGG
rnacentral:rRNA from 1 species